rnacentral:rRNA from 1 species
AUUGAACGCUGGCGGCAGGCCUAACACAUGCAAGUCGAACGAGUGGCGGACGGGUGAGUAAUGUCUGGGAAACUGCCCGAUGGAGGGGGAUAACUACUGGACACGGUAGCUAAUACCGCAUACCAUCGGAUGUGCCCAGAUGGGAUUAGCUAGUAGGUGGGGUAAUGGAUCACCUAGGCGACGAUCCAUAGCUGGUCUGAGAGGAUGACCAGCCACACUGUAACUGCGAGCUGGGCCAGACUCCUACGGUAGGCAGAGGUGGGGAAUAUUGCACAAUGGGCGCAAGCCUGAGGCAGCCAUGCCGCGUGUAUGAAGAAGGCCUUCGGGUUGUAAAGUACUUUCAGCGAGGAGGCGUUACUCGCAGAAGAAGCACCGGCUAACGCCGUGCCAGCAGCCGCGGUAAUAC